rnacentral:rRNA from 1 species
GACGAACGCUGGCGGCGUGCUUAACACAUGCAAGUCGAACGGAAAGGCCCUGCUUUUGUUGGGUUCUCGAGUGGCGAACGGGUGAGUAACACGUGAGUAACCUGCCCUUGACUUUGGGAUAACUUCAGGAAACUGGGGCUAAUACCGGAUAGGAGCUCCUGCUGCAUGGUGGGGGUUGGAAAGUUUCGGCGGUUGGGGAUGGACUCGCGGCUUAUCAGCUUGUUGGUGGGGUAGUGGCUUACCAAGGCUUCGACGGGUAGCCGGCCUGAGAGGGGGACCGGCCACAUUGGGACUGAGGUACGGCCCAGACGCCUACGGGAGGCAGCAGGGGGGAAUAUUGCACAAUGGGCGGAAGCCUGAUGCAGCAACGCCGCGUGCGGGAUGACGGCCUUCGGGUUGUAAACCGCUUUCGCCUGUGACGAAGCGUGAGUGACGGUAAUGGGUAAAGAAGCACCGGCUAACUACGUG